rnacentral:rRNA from 1 species
AUACGGGGGGGGCGAGCGUUGUCCGGAAUUAUUGGGCGUAAAGGGCGCGUAGGCGGAAUAGUAAGUCAGAAGUGAAAAUCAUGGGCUCAACUCAUGACCUGCUUUUGAUACUGCUAUUCUCGAGUGCGAGAGAGGAAAGCGGAAUUCCCGGUGUAGCGGUGAAAUGCGUAGAUAUCGGGAAGAACACCGGUAGCGAAGGCGGCUUUCUGGCUCGCAACUGACGCUGAGGCGCGAAAGCGUGGGGAGCAAACAGGAUUAGAAACCCCAGUAGUCC